UCUUGGAUUGUUUGAUGAUGUUAGAAAUUUUUUUUCAAAAUUUGGGGAACUACUGGGCAAGGGGCCAUGCAAGUCGUACAUGUUAAAGAACCCUUUACUGAAGUCAGUGAAUAUAUUUAAGUAAUGCCUACCUGCAUUGGUAGUCCAUAAUAAUGGUAACACAAUUCAAUGAAUUCCCAUUUCCGUAUUGAAAUUCUACCACCCUUCACUGAUUCCGCCAUUCGGUGAUUUUUCCUGGAAUGUUUAGAAUCGGUAACGCCUACCUGCCGCCCGAGCUGAUUAAUUCAGGAAUGGAAUUCGACCUACGAAGAUUUGAACAUCGAGGCGAAACAUUUGCUUUCUUUGAGGACGGACACGGCCUGCCUGUUGUUGCACGAUCAGCAGUACUAUCGGAUUUGUGGGCCAUGGAAGAAACUAUUAAGGGUGGAGUGUGCAGGAGCCAAAGUUUAAAGCUAAAGAGCUUAGUUGAAUGAUUACUGCAGCAGCUCAAUCCAACAUUUUCCGCAGUGAUAGCA